GGAGGCGGCGGCGUGCGCGGCCCGGGUUGGCCGGGCUCCUUCCCCACUGCGCUCCGCAGCUGUCACGCACCUCCCUGUUAGCGUUACCGCCCCCGGGCCCGUGAGCAGCAUGAGGGUAGUGGCUCUGAUCAGUGGUGGGAAGGACAGCUGUUACAAUAUGAUGCAGUGUGUUGCUGCUGGGCAUCAGAUUGUUGCUCUAGCCAAUUUAAGACCUGCCGAAAAUACAGGGAGGGCUGAUGAAUUGGACAGCUAUAUGUAUCAGACAGUAGGACACCAUGCUAUUGACCUGUAUGCUGAUGCAUUGGAUUUGCCACUCUAUCGUGGUUUCAUAAAGGGUACCAGUGUAAAUACUGGAAGAGUGUAUACGGCAUGUCAGGAAGAUGAGGUUGAAGACCUUUACCACCUCAUGAAACUUGUUAAGGACAAAGAAGGAGUGGAGGGUGUAUCUGUGGGAGCCAUUCUUUCUGACUACCAGAGAGUGCGAGUUGAAGAUGUAUGCAGAAGGCUUAAUCUUCAGCCUUUAGCUUACCUUUGGCGUCGGAACCAGGAAAUAUUGCUUAAGGAAAUGAUAUCAUCUAACAUUCAAGCCAUAAUCAUAAAAGUGGCAGCUUUUGGUUUAGAUCCAGAUAAGCAUCUAGGGAAAACUCUGGAUCAAAUGGAGCCUUAUCUUUUGGAGCUUUCUGCGAAAUAUGGAGUCCAUGUUUGUGGAGAAGGUGGAGAAUAUGAAACAUUCACUCUGGACUGCCCUCUAUUUAAGAAGAAAAUAGUUGUAGAUGCAGCCAAGGUGGUGGUGCAUUCAGCUGAUGCAUUUGCACCUGUGGCCUACCUUCGUUUUUUAAAAUUAAAGCUGGAGAACAAGCAGGAGGAAUCUCCUGGUACAUUUAUGGUCAAUAGCUGUUCUUGUGAGGCAAGCUGCGAUGAUGAUGCUAUUUUCCCUUCAUCAGAAGAGGACGAACCACAGAAAACCAUUCCAGUCAUCUGGAAGUCAUUGAAACAUAAUUCUCUGGACUUCACUGAGAUGCUUGGAAGUUCAGGAAAAUCCCUGAGUGGCUACCAGUGGUUUUCAGGCAUCACUGCCCACUUCCUUCCAUCAAAAGGCAAAAAUGCUCAAGAGGCAGCAAGGGAAGCAUUUUCUUCUCUCCGAGCUAAUAUGACUUCAGAGGGUUUGAAACUGAAGGAUAUUAUUUUGGUUCAUCUGUAUAUGAAGAGCAUGAAAGAUUUCAAUGUUAUAAAUUCAGUUUAUGUGACAGAAUUUGAUUUGUGUCCACCAGCAAGAGUAUGUGUAGAAACCCUGUUACCUGAUGGAGUACUGUUUUGUAUUGACUGUCUUGCACAUAAGUAUGACAUUGCAACGGAGGAUGUGUUACGAGAUGAAAAACUGGUCAUGCAUGUGCAGAGCAUUUCCCACUGGGCACCUGCUAGCAUUGGACCCUACAGUCAGUCCAUCAAGGUUGGAGAUAUUCUCUACUGCGCCGGACAGAUUGCUCUAGUACCUUGUACGAUGCAGCUUGUUAGCGGGGGCAUAUACACUGAGGCCGUAGUUUCCCUCCGUCAUGUUGAGCGCGUUCUUCAAGCUAUGAGCCAGAAGACUGCACUGCACCAUGUCAUCACAGCCAGCUGCUACGUAACUGACAGCAAGCACAUUCCUAUUGCUCGCUCAGUAUGGCAGAAGAAAUUAAGAGAAUGUAAAAAGGUUGAAGAUUCAGAGACAUAUCAUGAUGUAACUGCCGUGUGUGGGUUGCUUGCUGUGGUUGUAAUAUCUCACCUACCCAGAGAUGCUGCCAUUGAGUGGCAUGUCGUUGCAGUAGUUGAUGAUCCACUCCAAAGAAAACAUUUUGCAAUGAAGAGGUUGUCAGAGGGCUUCCAAAUUGAGUGUGAAUUUGUGGAGUCUAGUUCUGCAUCUUGUGCAUCAAUCUCUGUAUGUCUGAGCUUGAUUUCACCAUCCGCUUCUCAGCUUGAUUUAGAUGGACCUCUUCAUGACUUAGUUGCCAUGUUUAGACAAGCUGUGGAGAAACUUUCAGAAGACUGCAGUGCAAGUCCUUUGUCUUUUAGAGCUUUCUUCAAGGAGGAUGUCUUUGAUGCUGAAACCCUACAAACAGCUAGAACCACUGAAUGGCAAACUUCUGUAUUCUGCACCUUUUUAAAAUUAAACUCUUCUGAGCAAUGGGAGUGACAAGGAAAAGUUUACUAGACAAAGAGAUUCCCAUCCUCCCCAGAGAUCUUGAGCACAGCUGGCAUACAAGUCCAAUAACUCCCCUUAAAGAGAUUGGGUGAUUACGGGGUUGAAAGAUAGCACACAGGGAAAGCAGCACCCCUGGUGCAUCUGGCACAUUGGACCGCUGUAGGAAGAGUUCAUACCAGCUGUCCAACUAAGCUGAAGUUUAGGUUUCAAAAUUUGGAAGGAAGUUCAGGAAAGAAUAUGUACUUGAGAGAGGAUGUUUUAAGAUGGCAGUAUCCAUGAACACUGCUUAAAUAUCGUACCUCCUUCAGCCUCAGUUCUCUUGUGCAGGCUGUCUGCUGGAAAAUAGAGAUGGAUCAUUUUAGGUCAUCUUCUUCACAGGAUUGCAAGAAUACCUGGAAAAAUAUUUGGGCAAGAAGACCCCAGCUCUGAUUUUAGUACCUGUGGUGGAUUUACCUGGCAAGGAAGUUAUUCAUAUCACAUGCUGGCUAAGCUAGCAGUUUA